UACGGUGGGGGCAAGCGUUGUUCGGAAUUACUGGGCGUAAAGGGUUCGUAGGUGGCUUGUUAAGUCAGACGUGAAAUCCCUCGGCUCAACCGGGGAACUGCGUCUGAGACUGAUGAGCUCGAGUGCAGGAGAGGAACGCGGAAUUCCAGGUGUAGCGGUGAAAUGCGUAGAUAUCUGGAGGAACACCGGUGGCGACGGCGGCGUUCUGGACUGCAACUGACACUGAGGAACGAAAGCCAGGGGAGCAAACGGG
rnacentral:rRNA from 1 species